ensembl:lncRNA
UUAUUCUACCAGAAUUGAUUCCAUGAAGCCUUGUAAAAAUAUGCAAACCUUAAGAAUUUGCAUUUCGUAGGGGAAAAAGAAAUUUGUUACAUAUAAGAACAUAAUCAAGAAAAUCCAAAACGUGGGAAAUGCCUCCGACGAGAUACAGCCACCACCUGCAGGGUAUGGCCUCGUUUCGCUCCUGACUCAAAGAGCCCACCUGUUUAAAAUGAUGAGAACACAGUGGGGAAUUAAUCAGGAUUUUUAUGACGUUGAGGACUGCAUUGCCAGUUCAUGAUCCGAGUGCUGCAGACUUUGACAGGGCCUUUCCUUGUGUUGCAGAGAUACCGACCGAAACCCUGAAGAAUGCAGUGAUGGACGGCCCAGGACGCGUCUCCAAGUCGAGGCCGAGCUUGAGCUGCUCGUCGCUGAAGCUGGCGAGUCGUCCCUGAGGACAGUCUGUGCUCGUGUGUGUGUUGAAAACACUUCAUUAUAAAAAGUUCAAGUGAACCAGACUCUGUGAACAUCGAGGAAGUCCCUCCUAGGUUACAGUCCCGUGAAAGGUAUGCAGCUGCCGUCCUAAGACGUCUCCCAGGCUGCCCGCCUCGGGGCAGAAUCAAGGUGUUAAAGAAAGAGGACCCCGCCCUCAGCCCGUGGCUCCUGGACGCAGAGGAGGUCUCUGCAAAGGCUACUCAGUGGAUUCCCAGCUGCCAGUACCACAGGGCUGGCCACUACAGAAGCCCUCGCUUCAGCAAGAUGGAAGGACUUCACAGCCUGGAUGGCUCUCAUGGCUUCAGGUCCCUGGACCAUUGGCGCCGUCGGCAGCAGCAAAGCAGGUGCACUCGGCCCCCCUCCUGGCCCACCCGGCUCCCAAGGUCGCAGACGUAGGUCUGGCCAUGGGCCGCCCUCUAGCA